rnacentral:rRNA from 1 species
UACGUAGGGUGCAAGCGUUGUCCGGAAUUAUUGGGCGUAAAGAGCUCGUAGGCGGUCUGUCACGUCGGCUGUGAAAUCCCGAGGCUCAACCUCGGGUCUGCAGUCGAUACGGGCAAACUAGAGUAUUGCAGGGGAGACUGGAAUUCCUGGUGUAGCGGUGAAAUGCGCAGAUAUCAGGAGGAACACCGGUGGCGAAGGCGGGUGUCUGG